rnacentral:rRNA from 1 species
GGCUCAGAACGAACGCUGGCGGCAGGCUUAACACAUGCAAGUCGAGCGCCCCGCAAGGGGAGCGGCAGACGGGUGAGUAACGCGUGGGAAUCUACCCUUUUCUACGGAAUAACGCAGGGAAACUUGUGCUAAUACCGUAUGAGCCCUUCGGGGGAAAGAUUUAUCGGGAAAGGAUGAGYCCGCGUUGGAUUAGCUAGUUGGUGGGGUAAAGGCCUACCAAGGCGACGAUCCAUAGCUGGUCUGAGAGGAUGAUCAGCCACAUUGGGACUGAGACACGGCCCAAACUCCUACGGGAGGCAGCAGUGGGGAAUAUUGGACAAUGGGCGCAAGCCUGAUCCAGCCAUGCCGCGUGAGUGAUGAAGGCCCUAGGGUUGUAAAGCUCUUUCACCGG